GGUGGCCUACGGGACGCAGCAGUGGGGAAUAUUGGACAAUGGGGGGAACCCUGAUCCAGCGACGCCGCGUGAGUGAAGAAGUAUUUCGGUAUGUAAAGCUCUAUCAGCAGGGAAGAAAGAAAUGACGGUACCUGACUAAGAAGCCCCGGCUAACUACGUGCCAGCAGCCGCGGUAAUACGUAGGGGGCAAGCGUUAUCCGGAUUUACUGGGUGUAAAGGGAGCGUAGACGGCGAUGCAAGUCUGAAGUGAAAGGCGGGGGCCCAACCCCCGGACUGCUUUGGACACUGUUUGGCUGG
rnacentral:rRNA from 1 species